rnacentral:ncRNA from 1 species
CCUCUGAAAAGGCAAACUUCGGGUAACCGGGGGACGCAAAACCGAUCGGGUCCUGAAUCCAGGACGGCCGGGUUGUCAGA